ACAGACCUGUAGGUGUAUGUGCAGUCCUUCAGCGCCCUCUAGUGAAAUGCACAGGGCGGCUCUUCCCCCAAACUCCCACAGGCUACUGGUAUUGCAUCAAGUCCUAGCUACCCCUGGGAAAUAGCCGUUGUCCCUCCUAGUCCACACUCAGUGCCCUGAUUCCUUUUGUUGUUUCAGGUCGGGGCCCACCGUGAAGAUGGCGUGGCACUGAGAGGCAGCCAUUCUCUCCUGCCAAACCAGGUUCCGGUUCCACAGCUUCCAGUCCAGUCUGCAACUUCCCCUGACUUGAACCCACCCCAAGACCCUUACAGAGGGAUGCCACCAGGCCUCCAGGGACAGAGUGUGUCUUCCGGCAGCUCUGAGAUCAAGUCCGACGACGAGGGCGAUGAGAACCUACAGGACACAAAAUCUUCCGAGGACAAGAAACUAGACGACGACAAGAAGGAUAUCAAAUCAAUUACUAGGUCAAGAUCUAGGUAACAGUAUAUAAUACUGUCGCUUCAUUUAAUUCCUUUACUGGACUUUGAUGAAGUGAACAGAACAGGAAGAAACUGGUUAGUUUUUUCCUGUC
rnacentral:lncRNA from 1 species